AGAGGUUAAACUAUUUAAUUUUGCUACAGGAAACCAAGAUGACGGAGAGAACCUCGUUGGCUUCGAGAUGCUUGAUAGCAACGAAAUAGCCCUCACGAAUGAUUCCGGUUCUCAAGACGCAAAAGAAGUUCAUUUGUGUAUGGCCAGAGCCGAGUCACUGACAAGGAUAAAGAGAAUGCUGCAGGAUACAUAAAUCUAGUCAACAUCACCCCGGCAUAAUCAAAUGGAACUGUUGUAGAUGUUCAAUCAAUAUGCUUGCCUGGCAGCUGAAGGCUUAGUUGUCUGGAAUUGCUCUCCAACACAAUUACAAAUGCCACUUUAACCGACUUUUAUAGCUAGCUACUAUUUUAUUAAUGCAAGCUGCUAUAGCCUAAUGAACAUUGUCAGUUUUGAAAUUAUAGUCCUGUGAUGGUUUUCAGUUAAAAUUCCUAGUACUAGUGAAUAUAAUUGUAAUUUCUUUGGAUAACUGCCUUUAAGAAAAGAAUUUAAAUAAUUUUUUUUUUGAGUUA